rnacentral:lncRNA from 1 species
AGGAUAUAUAUGCAAAUAUCAAUUUUGAAAAAAUAUUCAUGAAAAAUUCGAUAUUUAGAAGGGUACUCAGAUAAAAAAUCUAAAUUAUAAAUAUCAUAACUAUCAUUACGAGAAGAUUUCUCAAAUGAUAGUAACAACAAAGAAUUUAUCAGAUCAGGUUCAGAAGUAUUCAUAUUGCCUCCCACGUAACAGGUUCUACUCAAAUCAACCAUCA